rnacentral:lncRNA from 1 species
AACAAUGAAUUUUCAUGCAGAGCUUUCCAUUCUUCUUCUUUGCUAGACAUUGGAAGUCCUUUCUACCUUUUUUUCUCCCGACAAGCUCACAGGACAAGACAAGGCCAAGGCCACAACCUGACUGAUUUGACAGAGGAUGUUAAAGUGAGAGGAUUUGAAGCAGACCAGAAGAGGACAGAAGAUAUUCUCCACUUUUGCUUCCCACCAUCGAUCAAUGAGGAAACCUUCACUAACCAAGCCUCCAGUCACUGACAGUUAACGAUGCAUCUCAAAGCAUCAAUCUCUCCUGCCGCUCACCCUGACAAGUUGGAGAGAAAAAG